GAUGAACGCUGGCGGCGUGCUUAACACAUGCAAGUCGAACGGAAAGGCCGAAGCUUGCUUCGGUACUCGAGUGGCGAACGGGUGAGUAACACGUGGGUGAUCUGCCCUGUACUUCGGGAUAAGCUUGGGAAACUAGGUCUAAUACCGGAUAUGACGAUCUCUUGGAUGGGGUUGUGGAAAGCUUUUGCGGUAUGGGAUGAGCUCGCGGCCUAUCAGCUUGUUGGUGGGGUAAUGGCCUACCAAGGCGUCGACGGGUAGCCGGCCUGAGAGGGUGUACGGCCACAUUGGGACUGAGAUACGGCCCAGACUCCUACGGGAGGCAGCAGUGGGGAAUAUUGCACAAUGGGCGCAAGCCUGAUGCAGCGACGCCGCGUGGGGGAUGACGGCCUUCGGGUUGUAAACUCCUUUCGCAAUCGACGAAGCCUUUUGGUGACGGUAGGUUGAGAAGAAGCACCGGCUAACUACGUG
rnacentral:rRNA from 1 species